UACGUAGGGGGCAAGCGUUAUCCGGAUUUACUGGGUGUAAAGGGAGCGCAGGCGGCGUGGCAAGUCAGAUGUGAAAACCCGGGGCCCAACCCCGGGAGUGCAUUUGAAACUGCCAUGCUGGAGUGCCGGAGAGGUAAGCGGAAUUCCUAGUGUAGCGGUGAAAUGCGUAGAUAUUAGGAGGAACACCAGUGGCGAAGGCGGCUUACUGGACUGUAACUGACGUUGAGGCUCGAAAGCGUGGGGAGCAAACAGGG
rnacentral:rRNA from 1 species